CUAGUCAGCGAGCUUACCUAUGCAUUGUGACGUCAUAAACUUGGCAGCGACGUCAUGUUAGUCCUUCACAAGCCGCGAUGGCUGCUUAUUUUGACACAAUAACACAGACUUUCACAGCGCUUGAGACUUCAUGUAAUAACAGUAUGGUCCUAUGGAUUUCAGUACCAAAACUGAUUUUCUACCGUUUUUCUUCCAAGAAAGUUCUGAACAGCUGAAUCCUGGAUCAGCCUAGAUGUUAUUUCACUGGAUUAUUUAAUGAAUAUUACUCUACUGAGUUACCUGGUUACAUGGAUCAGCUGAGAUGUUAUUUCACUGGAUUAUUUAAUUGGGCAUAUAAUUGGAUAAUUCUGUCCUCAACCUGGAAGAUAUGUUUUAUUCCCAACCAUCUAUAAUCCAUUCUCUAUGAAGUUCAGCCUGUCUGCCCAAAUUCCUUUGGAAAUACAUAGUUAGUCAACCAACAUAGAAACAAUCAAACUUGAAGUCCUCAACAUGGAAGAAUUGGUUUGUUCUUAACCAUCUAUAAUCCAUUCUCUAUGAAGUGAAGCCUGGCUGCUGGUCUUCCUUUGGAAAUACACAGUUAGUCAAUCAACAUAGAAACACACAAACUUGAAGGUAAAGUUUCAAUGAGAUACAAUUGUAAUUUUUAUUUAUUUAUUUAUUUAUUUACAUAUGCAUUUUUAUAUUUUUGAAUUGAUAAGUAAAUGAUAUAUGAUUUUUUUAAAAUAAAGAGGGCUUGGUGGUCAUGGUCAUGUUUAAACUCUAUUGAUAUCCUUUAGAAGAAGAAGAAAAGGCAUAAAAAUUCAUGAUCAAAUUUUUAAAACUAAAAUGUAUGAAAUUUUUCUUUGCCAAAUGAUAGUUAACAGCUGAAGAUAACAUAUUUAUAGAAUAAGUUAAAUAUGGCUAAUUUGUUAACCCCAGCUUCCUUAAUAGCAUAAUUGGUAAAGAUAGGAAGUUUUGACUUCAAUUGCUGAUGAAUUCUGAAUUUUCCAUUUAAUAUUAACAUUCUAUCAAAGAGAAAGAAUACUAUAAUGUGGCUCAUUAGGAUGACCAGAAAAGAAAUCUUAAUGAACCUCUUAACUAUGUAUAAAGAUUGUAACCUUAUAACUGAUGUAAGAUGAUCUGAUUGUGUGGAAAUAAAAUUUCCUGGUGUUUCUACUACCCAAGAUCUUCUUAUGAGUGUAUGGGAC